GACGAACGCUGGCGGCGUGCUUAACACAUGCAAGUCGAACGGUAAGGCCCUUCGGGGUACACGAGUGGCGAACGGGUGAGUAACACGUGGGUGAUCUGCCCUGCACUUCGGGAUAAGCCUGGGAAACUGGGUCUAAUACCGGAUAGGACUCCGGACUGCAUGGUCUGGGGUGGAAAGCUUUUGCGGUGUGGGAUGGGCCCGCGGCCUAUCAGCGUGUUGGUGGGGUGAUGGCCUACCAAGGCGACGACGGGUAGCCGGCCUGAGAGGGUGACCGGCCACACUGGGACUGAGAUACGGCCCAGACUCCUACGGGAGGCAGCAGUGGGGAAUAUUGCACAAUGGGCGCAAGCCUGAUGCAGCGACGCCGCGUGAGGGAUGACGGCCUUCGGGUUGUAAACCUCGUUCAGCAUCGACGAAGCGAAAGUGACGGUAGGUGCAGAAGAAGGACCGGCCAACUACGUGCCAGCCGCCGCUGUAA
rnacentral:rRNA from 1 species